AUUCGCCCUUAGAGUUUGAUCCUGGCUCAGGACGAACGCUGGCGGCGUGCCUAACACAUGCAAGUCGAACGGAGUACAGAUUUUCGGAUUUGUACUGAGUGGCGAACGGGUGAGUAACGCGUGAGCAACCUGACCCUUUGAGGGGGAUAACACCUGGAAACAAGUGCUAAUACCGCAUAAGACCACGACCCGGCAUCGGGAUGAGGUCAAAGGAGCAAUCCGCAGAGGGAGGGGCUCGCGUCCCAUUAGAUAGUUGGCGGGGUAAUGGCCCACCAAGUCGACGAUGGGUAGCCGAGCUGAGAGGCUGAUCGGCCACACUGGAACUGAGACACGGUCCAGACUCCUACGGGAGGCAGCAGUGGGGAAUAUUGGGCAAUGGGCGCAAGCCUGACCCAGCAACGCCGCGUGAGGGAAGAAGGCUUUCGGGUUGUAAACCUCUGUCCUUGGUGAUGAAGGAAGUGACGGUAGCCAAGGAGGAAGCCCCGGCUAACUACGUGCCAGCAGCCGCGGUAAUACGUAGGGGGCGAGCGUUGUCCGGAAUUACUGGGCGUAAAGGGUGCGUAGGCUGUUCUGCAAGUCAGCGGUGAAAGCCCGGGGCUCAACCCCGGAAAUGCCGUUGAUACUGCGGGGCUGGAAUACGGAUGCCGUGGGAGGAAUGAGUAGUGUAGCGGUGAAAUGCAUAGAUAUUACUCAGAACACCGAUUGCGAAGGCAUCUCACGAAUCCGUUAUUGACGCUGAGGCACGAAAGCGUGGGGAUCAAACAGGAUUAGAUACCCUGGUAGUCCACGCAGUAAACGAUGAUAACUAACCGUCGGCGAUACACAGUCGGUGGCCAAGCGAAAGCGAUAAGUUAUCCACCUGGGGAGUACGUUCGCAAGAAUGAAACUCAAAGGAAUUGACGGGGGCCCGCACAAGCGGAGGAACAUGUGGUUUAAUUCGAUGAUACGCGAGGAACCUUACCCGGGCUCGAACGGCAUAUGAACGAGACAGAGAUGUUUCGGUCCUUCGGGACAUAUGUCGAGGUGCUGCAUGGUUGUCGUCAGCUCGUGUCGUGAGAUGUUGGCUUAAGUGCCAUAACGAGCGCAACCCUUGCCGAUAGUUACCAUCAAGUAAAGUUGGGGACUCUAUCGGGACUGCCACCGCAAGGUGAGAGGAAGGCGGGGAUGACGUCAAAUCAGCACGGCCCUUACGUCCGGGGCGACACACGUGUUACAAUGGUAGCUACAGAGGGAAGCCAGCUGGUGACAGUGAGCGGAUCUCGAAAAGCUAUCUCAGUUCGGAUUGGAGUCUGCAACUCGACUCCAUGAAGCUGGAUUCGCUAGUAAUCGCGCAUCAGCCAUGGCGCGGUGAAUACGUUCCCGGGCCUUGCACUCA
rnacentral:rRNA from 1 species